rnacentral:lncRNA from 1 species
GGCAGUUUCACAAUAACUUUGAAGCCCGUCUUUGUUUUCUGAUAAAAUAGAUGAUAAUAAUUUAGAAAGAGGUUUCGUGGAGCACUUGAAAGGACAGCAAUAUACCGUAGUUUGUAAGGACGCUUAUACAGUUUAUGUAUCCAAUACAGUGAUGGAAGAUCCAGUUCAUCGUCUUUGGUUGAAAUUCUAAAGGAACAUAGAACUGAACUAUGAUUUACAAGAAUUUCCUCUUUGGUAAGUGUCGUGAGGGUAUAUGUUGGGUUUCCAAGUGAAUUGUCAAUACCUUUAUACAUCAAGCAGUUAAUGUAAUGAGUUUUACACACAAAAACAAUGUUGUUUGGGGCUUCAUCUGCGGGGACAACAUAUUUGUCAUGCAGGUAGGAUAAGUGUUUUGCAACAUUAGGGUCUUUAAAAAGAUUGACGUAGCAUGGGCAUUGAUAGACCCAUUCAGUUUCUUAAUUCUGAUUUGUAAAAACGACCUCACUGCCUUAAUCCAUUCGCAACGAGUGUCUACGUCUUCCUUCUCACGCUUAGCCCAUUGCCUGGCAUAAUCCUCGACUGAAUCCAUCAAAAUUUAAAAGUUGUAUUUCCAAUUGAUGGAUUUCGGCUCACGAUAUUUUGGACCUUUUGGUGGUAUGGAAGUUUAGAUUAAAAAUGAACGAAUUUUUGCAUUUAAGUACUCUGUAACCCCUCUAAUGUUCACUGCAGGACAUAUAUUUUAUAACCAUUUUAUUCCUCCACUAGUGUAUAAAGGAUGCAAUAAGGUGAUGUUAGGUAAAAAUUAAGAAAGAAAGAAAUAUUAUAAGCUGGUAGAGUAUCAAUUAAGGAUAAAGAUAAGCUAAACAUUUUAAUAGGUCAUGGACCUCCUGUUCAAGAUAUUUGAGAUUAAAAAUAUGGCGGGAAAAGGCUGACUCGAACUUUUACCUUAUAUUUGCAUUGGUAUUAUUUGGGUCUCAAAACAAAAGAAAGAAAAUCAAAAAUCUUCUAAAAUUUUGGUAAAUGACCUUUUAAUGAGCUAUUUUAAAGUCUUAUAUGAAAAAAUAAAUGGGUUUUAUGGGGCAAAAUAUUUUACAUUGUAUUUUAUGGAAAAACACUAAGGAGUCCGAACAUUUGACACAAAUUCCAAAACAUCACCUAAGUACAUCCUUAAGUUUUCUGUAUUUAGAGGCUAACGAGUACCAGCAGUCCAUUGUAUUAUUCAAAAUAAGCUAUUUCUUAUUGUUCACGCGUAUUUUGCGUAUUUUGGCAUAUAAGUCCUCCGUAAUCCCUCUGAUGGUCAAUGCGGAAUAUACUGUUUGUAACCAUUUUAUUCCUCUUUGUAUAGCUAUAUGUUAUAAACCUCUUGUUUCUUUGUUGGUACGCUUUUGAUUGACGUAUAAGGUAGCAAUACAAUAAUCUUUCGAAUGAGGUAUAAGGUUUAUAUGUUAUUAGGGGCUGAAAGGUCGCAGUAGUCCAUUCCAUUAUUCAAAAUAUCCAUUUCAUUAUUCAAAAUUGGCUAUUUCUUAAUCUUCACGCGUAUUUUGGCACUUAAGUCCUCUCCUAAUAAAAAGUCCACCUUCUAAUGGUCAUUGCGCCACAAUCGACAUGUUAUAUCUGUGAUCAGAGGACUAAGAAUAGCAAAGAUCUU